GGAUGUGAGGGCGAUCUGGCUGUGACAUCUGUCACCCCACUGCUUGUCAGGGUUGAUUCAGCUGAUCUGGCUGGCUAGGCAAGUGUCCCCUUCCUCCUUCACUGCUCCAUGUGCGUCCCUCCCGAAGCUGCCUGCUUGGUUGGUCUGUUGGCUGAAGAGAAUGGCCUUCCCCAAAUAGAGCAGGACCAGUCUUCAGUCGAGCUGCACUUCCCUGCUAGAACCUCCAAACAAGCUCUCAAAAAAAAAAGAAAGAUUAUUUGGAAAACUCAAAAAUGUUACUCAAGUACAAACUAUUGUAUUU
rnacentral:snRNA from 1 species